rnacentral:rRNA from 1 species
AGAGUUUGAUCAUGGCUCAGAUUGAACGCUGGCGGCAGGCUUAACACAUGCAAGUCGAACGGUAACAGGGAAUAGCUUGCUAUUUUGCUGACGAGUGGCGGACGGGUGAGUAAUGCUUGGGAAUUUACCGAAAGGUGGGGGACAACAGUUGGAAACGACUGCUAAUACCGCAUAAUGUCUACGGACCAAAGGUGGCCUCUAUUUAUAUGCUAUCGCUUUUCGAUGAGCCCAAGUGGGAUUAGCUAGUUGGUAAGGUAAUGGCUUACCAAGGCGACGAUCCCUAGCUGGUCUUAGAGGAUGACCAGCCACACUGGAACUGAGACACGGUCCAGACUCCUACGGGAGGCAGCAGUGGGGAAUAUUGCACAAUGGGGGAAACCCUGAUGCAGCCAUGCCGCGUGUGUGAAGAAGGCUUUCGGGUUGUAAAGCACUUUCAGCGAGGAGGAAAGGGUAGUUAUUAAUACUGACUAUCUGUGACGUUACUCGCAGAAGAAGCACCGGCUAACUCCGUGCCAGCAGCCGCGGUAAUACGGAGGGUGCAAGCGUUAAUCGGAAUUACUGGGCGUAAAGCGCGCGUAGGUGGUUAAUUAAGUCAGAUGUGAAAGCCCAGGGCUCAACCUUGGAACUGCAUCUGAAACUGGUUAACUAGAGUUUUGUAGAGGGUGGUAGAAUUUCAGGUGUAGCGGUGAAAUGCGUAGAGAUCUGAAGGAAUACCAGUGGCGAAGGCGGCCACCUGGACAGUAACUGACACUGAGGCGCGAAGGCGUGGGGAGCAAACGGGAUUAGAUACCCCGGUAGUCCACGCAGUAAACGAUGUCUAUUAGAAGUUUGUGGCUAUAUGCCGUGGGUUUCAAAGCUAACGCAUUAAAUAGACCGCCUGGGGAGUACGGCCGCAAGGUUAAAACUCAAAUGAAUUGACGGGGGCCCGCACAAGCGGUGGAGCAUGUGGUUUAAUUCGAUGCAACGCGAAGAACCUUACCAUCCCUUGACAUCCAGAGAAUCACCUAGAGAUAGAUGAGUGCCUUCGGGAGCUCUGAGACAGGUGCUGCAUGGCUGUCGUCAGCUCGUGUUGUGAAAUGUUGGGUUAAGUCCCGCAACGAGCGCAACCCUUAUCCUUAGUUGCCAGCACGUAAUGGUGGGAACUCUAGGGAGACUGCCGGUGAUAAACCGGAGGAAGGUGGGGACGACGUCAAGUCAUCAUGGCCCUUACGGGAUGGGCUACACACGUGCUACAAUGGCAGAUACAAAGGGUUGCUAACCUGCGAGGGUAUGCGAAUCUCAUAAAGUCUGUCGUAGUCCGGAUCGGAGUCUGCAACUCGACUCCGUGAAGUUGGAAUCGCUAGUAAUCGUGGAUCAGAAUGCCACGGUGAAUACGUUCCCGGGCCUUGUACACACCGCCCGUCACACCAUGGAAGUGGGCUGCACCAGAAGUCAUUAGCUAAACCUUCGGGAUGGCGAUGACCACGGUGUGGUUCAUGACUGGGGUGAAGUCGUAACAAGGUA